ACAUGGACUUCCUUACCUCCACCAUAAUGAGUAGAAUGUUGAAAAUUGCCCGGAUCCCAGCCUAGUUCCUCUAGUUGGUGUGUUUUCUUAGGGAGUGAGCUGAAGAGUGAAGGUCUUUUGCUUUAAGAGAAAGGCUGGGUUGGGGUGGAGGAGCGGGUUGUACAUAAACAUUCUCAGGUGUGGAAGACGAGCCAGUGCGACGCGGUUGCCAUAGUAACCUGACGUCAUAUUGGCGACGGUGACGACUUUUUAAUGAGCCCAAUUUGGCCUGGGGAGAACAGCACAGUCCCACCUUCAGGCGUUUGGACUCAGUGAAGGUUGUUAGUGCCCAGCAGUGUGGGCUGAAUCUCCGUGGGGUUUAGAGAGACGACAGAAUCCCAGAUCCACGUCCCAUCGUUCCCACUUUGGGGAUCGGCACUCUGGCUGUUUCGUGAGGGAGAGAGAGGAACUCAGAGUGGUUUUCCAGAUGGGAAUCACAUUGCUCUCUGUCCCUGAGAUCUUGCUGGAGGCAGGGCUACUCAGUCCCUCUUUGCCAGACUGAUAUUGGAAAAGCAGUUUCUAUUGAGCCCCCAAAUGAAGAGAGACUGCAGAUGAAAAGGAGGCAAGACUCACAAGGCCUUGAUCUUCAUACCAGACCCAUUAGCACCUACAGGACCUUGUACUGGGAUUUAGUCUGUGCUAUC
rnacentral:lncRNA from 1 species